UGCUCCAAAUAACCGGCAACAGGAAAUUCACCAAAGCUUGCGAAGCUACUGGGCAUGCUCCAAAUAACCGGAAACAGGAAAUUCUAAGUAAACUGAAGCCAGAUAAACGUACGCUGUUGUUUUGCUACCUUUUUUGCACUAUUUUCCCACGAUCAACAUCGCCGCCCCUUUUUAUCUGCUUCUGCCUGCCUGCCUAUCACGCAGGUGACAUAUACACCAGGACAAAAUACUCGUCCACACUUGUUUCAGGUCCAUUGCCACAAGACAAUAACUCUACUAACAUUUGUGUGGGGGGGAGAAAUGGGCCAAUCUAAAGAACUCUCUGAAUUUCAGCGUGGCACUGUAAUAGGAUGCCAUCUUUGCAACAAGUCAGUCAGUGAAAUUUCUUCCCUCCUGAACGUUCCGGAAUCAACUGUCGAUGAUGUUAUUGCCAAGUGGAAGCAAUCAGGAUCCUUAACAAGUCAGCCAAGAAACAGGAGAGCACGUAAAGCGGCAGGCGCUGAGAAUGAGUAACAGUCUGCCAACUCGCUUCCGAACCUCCCUUGGCUUUAACGUUGGCACUUAAAACAAUGGCUUUCCAUGAAUGAGCAGCUGAAAACAACACCGCGCUAUGUAAGCGUUCUGUAACACAACGUAUGAUUGAUUUCAGAAUUACACGUCAACUUUACUCAAUUAAAACAUGUUUUCUCAUUUUGAA